GGCUAGUCUGAAGGUAGUGACUUAUCUCACUUGACUGUUCACAGUGACUUACAGAUUGAACUUCUUAUUCUCCUCUUUCCCCACUUCUCACUCCUGUUCUUGACUACUCUUAA
ensembl:misc_RNA Y_RNA Y RNA